UUUUUCAUGAUAUAUCCUCUAGCAUCAGAAAAAUGACAUAGUAACACGUAGACAACAAGAAAAACAUGAUUUUCAUCAGAGUGGGUCUUUAGGCAUAAAGUUGCCAUUGCUUUUGAAAUGUCAUGCGGAAAAGUAUCCGAGGUCACACUUCUCUUGCAGUGUUUUACAUCUUUUGCAAACUGUUUUCUAUUGUAUGGCACGGCUGCUGUAAAAAAUGUACAUGUAGCAUUUGGCAUCAAACAAAGGCAGUCUAAGAGAGAGAGAGAGAGAGUGAGCAGCUGAGACAACAAUCUUGGAAACAAAGAAGAAAAAGGAAAUAGAUGAGAAUGCAGUGAUGUUCACAGCACAGACUGAGAUUCUUGUGAUUUCACCUUUCUGAGCCUGAAGACUGAGAUAAGGAAACAGAAGUUAAAUUUUGGCUUUCACGGGGUUCAACUGGCUGUUUAUCCUGUAGCGUUUGACUCCUGGUGAAAUCUAUUAUCUUUGUUUUAAGUCUCCGGGUAUCACAGGUGAGCUCAAUAAAGCUUGUUGAAGCAAAACAAGAUAAUGUUGGGGGAAAAACUUUCCCUUCAGACAAAAGGAAUCAAAGCUACUGUAGCCAACCAGAUCUUGUAACACUCCAGUUCACUAAUCUUUGAGGAAGUUCUACUCAAAUGUUUGCCACUUUCUACAAUUUCAGAGCAUGUGAUUGGUUUUUCACUUCCGUACUCCAUGACGUAAAAUUGAGAAACAUAUUGAAAAUGAGAUGGAAAACCAUGUCAGUAUUACCUUUUUGUAAUGCAUGAGUCCCUGAUGAGGUAGAGACCCCCUACUGCACCCCGGUAGAAGCAAAUAAGUAUAUCAAAGAGUUAUUAACAUACACAGAAUAUUAUGUACAACCCUUGCUGCCUUAAUAUCUUUUCAGAUCAGAGCAGAUGCUCAGCAUUAGUUAGCAAUGUCUUCUUCUUCUUACAUCAGACAGCUACACCAGAUACGGCAUCAUAUUUUCAAUCUAUUCACUGGUUCCUCUAAUAUCAGGAACUUUAAAACUUCAUAGGCUAAGAUGGAAAAUACAACUCCACUUCUACAAAGCAGAAUUUUAAUUUACCAGACCACAGGACCAGUUUCCAUUUCACCUCAGUCAACCUUAAAAUUGGCUUAUAUGUUUCCCCCUUUCUGUAUGAUACAGAUUUAACCUUCAUUUUUACCCUGUUGUAGAUUCAACAACAAGCUGUCUUCACAGACACCGAGUUUUGGACACGACUUUGAGCUUAUACCGUGAUUUUCACCUCUGGGUCAUAUCUGUUUUUAGUGCAGUGCUACCUGAAGCCUCGUACCCUUGGUGCAAAGAUUUAUCCACAUUCUCUGGAUUUUUUGAUAUUUUUGUCCUCCUGCAGCCUCUUAAUGUGAAACCUCCUCUCAUCUUUCUUCCUAUCAUCUCAUUGUUCUCUCAGGAAUAUCCAUUUUAUCCCCAGUCAUGGUACCAACUUGUUGCCAAGUCAGUAUUUAUUUAUCAAUAUUUUAUCUCUGUCCCGACUUUUUUGAAAAGGUGUUGCUGGCAUCAAAUUUAAACCUUUUUUUUCUUUUCAUUUCAAACUUUUGAUACAUUGUCUUUGCUCUUUCCAACUUUUUUCACUUUCAGUUUAACUGACUCUUAAAUUAUCAAAAGUUGUUUCAGUUUCACAAUUCGGAUUACUUAUCGCUAGAAAUGUUUAGUGUUUGUGUAUAAUGCUAACUGCAUAGCUUAAAACUUCAACCAGGAAAACAAACUUUAAUUGAUGCUCCAUUUCUCCCUAAAGUUGUUUUUGAUUUUUUUAAACCUUGCUGAAAGUCACCCCCAAUUUCCAAAUCUGAAUCGGCUACAAAAAGGCUGUAUCAGACGAUCGCAUCUGAUCGUAACCAUUCAAGUUAAUGUGUCAAUUUCCACGAGCUUCUUACUGUUCUGCUGCGGAUCGCCAGACUCCGCAGAUGAUCACAAGAGUUCUAUUUUCUCUGGGUACCGAAGCAUGCCGGAUAAAGAUUAGUCUGUGCUGGAAAGGAAGUCGGGCACAGACACAAAAUUAAACAUCCGGCUUCUUUAAAAAAUAAAACACUCCAUGUUUCAGGUGGACUGUAUUUCACACCAUGUGAACGGGCGGGGAUGAACAAGUGAAAGGUUUUUAGACAGCAUUUCACCCCUGUGAUGACACCAUGGAUGAGGAGAUGCUGAUUUUAGAAGUCUAGAAGUAGAUUUCCUCCUCUGGAAGGACACAAUCUACUGCUUGUAUGGUUAUGUGGCUGUCUUUGUAGAGACAACUCGUUAUUGUGCAAUUGCACAUGAAUCCACGAGUUCUUGUGAGUUCUCACGAUUCCAACAGUCCCUAAUCCGCUAGGAAAUUCGCCUCACAAACGGAACCGGUAGGAAUUGGCUGACGGCGAAAAUCGCCACUGUUUGGGAUCGGAGCUGUUCUGGACACGGUGCAAAUUCUGAACUAGUUGGUCACAAGAAACCAAGGAGUUGCUUUUGUACAGGUUGAGGGACUAUCCCUUUAGGCAGGCCUGUCUCUUGUUGUUAAUGGUAACCUGCUUUGCAAAGCUUUUUUCGCAAUUAGUUUUCCUAUUUAGCUGAUUAGAAGCGGAAAUAGAGACAAUCCUGUUGGAUGCCAUCCUGCAGGCUAUGCUAUUUACAUUAAUGUUGGCCUACAUGCCUUCAUGUUGCAAUAGGCUGUAACACACUGCAACACCAGGGGCACCAUGACUGGCCUCUAUAUGAUAAAUGGUUAACUAGAAAGACUAAAAUCAACCAACAUACAAUGUGGUGCCUCUAAUUAAAAUUUUAAGUUUUCUCAUGAACUAUGCAAUAAACUGCUGCAGUUGGCUUGUCUUAGCUGGAAAUAUAAAUUAUUUACAGCUGAGGAAGAGAUAAUCUCCAUUCUUUGGUGAAGAUCAGGAAGGGAACUGCUAUAUAUGUUGUGAGUGUGGGGAGAAAGCAAGAGUUAUAGGUGAAAUGAGCUGAAGAAAAAACACUUUGUCUUGUUUGUAUUUCUCACCGAGAUUGAUGGUGAAUGGUAUAAUCUCCACAUGAUCAUGAAUUCUUUGACAUUGCACUACAGAAGAAAAAAUUCAGGCAAACUUGGAUAUCAACAACCAACAUCAGCAACCACAGGUAGCAAAUUUAACCUUUUGCCACAAAUUGUAACCCUCGGUUUGCUAUCUGUGCCCUUCAGUGACACAUCCUAGACUGGAGAACGUGAGGGGACUUCUGAGUGGUCCUGCAGAGGAGUUGGUGCGUAGACAGCUGCUAAGAGAGCCUGUUGUCAUCCGUUGGAGCCAAGCAGUUGGCUGACAGAUUAAGAGAUGAGAUGUCCUUGUUAGAAGGGUUUAAAAUCCACCAGUGGAUUUUCAGUAGCCGUACUGCACAGUAUCUGGUGGUUGCUAGAUGUCCAAAACACUUGAGUUCCUGCCUAAGUAGGCAAAGAAAAUAUGCAUGUAAACAUUGUCUGCUCUAACUGUGAGAAGCUACUAAGCAGCUCAUUGAUAAAGUAAUUGAAUUUCAGUGUUAUCCCAUGGAACUAAUUGCACGAUUUACUGCCAUGUCCUUCUUGGAAAAGUCACACUUUUCUUGACGAAGCCACAAUGACUGGGUCACAUUUGUGUUUCUAAUAACUUCAUGAAUAAUAACUGUGAAUGCUCCAAUAUGCCCUGUUCGCAAGAGUGGAAUGAAAUAUCCAACUUGGGUUUCAGGGAAAGGAAAGUAAUAAUUUUCUGAUGCCAUCUCAGCUUUUUUCUCAUUUACUUUGGAAUAAGGCGCAUACUAGAAAAUUUGACCUUAUUUAGCUCCAAUUAGAGCAACUUAGACAAAUUCAAAUGGAGUCGGACCUUGAAAGAACCACUGAUGUGCUUUUUUAUCUGAAAAAAUUGAAUUGGACGGCUAGUCUUGUGCUUGAGGCUAGUUAAAGCUUUAGCGUGGCAUUUUAAGUAGUUAUGCAAAGACCAAGAAACUGCAAUAAACCUGCAUUCAAAAGCUUGUGGGCAGAGCCAUUCCACUCAGCCAAUCUCCUAUAUGAUGUCAAAAAAAAAGCACCCAAAGAGGAUGGUGAUGUAGGGGCUCCUGCAGGCCUAAAUGUGGAAGUGAGUACUCUUUGCACUGAGGCUACAGUCCUCAUCACUGCUCACUCUUGCACAGGACUAGCUGAACCAGAGGAGCUUGCAGCAUAUCAAUGACAACAUAUAGUAGGUUUCAUCCUUUGAUUUUUAAGGCAGUCAAGAGGAGUAUCUGUCUCACACAGAACAAGAGGGCUUUUCCAUUUUGGACAAUAGAAGAGUAACACCUUAUUUGGAUCCACCAUUGACACUCUGCAUGCUAUCAGACAUAUUUAGUUGCAUGUCAACAAUGUGUUGUGCUGUUGUCAACAGUUUCCACUUUAAUUGGAUAGCCCUGAUAUCUGUCUCCAAAUGCUUGAGACUCCAACAUAGUCUCUCAAUGGUUCCAACUUACAGAUUGGUGAUUGUCGAUAGAAGAGGUUGACCGUGUACUGAGAGCUGAAAGCACAAUGACAGUCAGAUGAGUCAAUGCAAAAUGUUGGAGGUUGAAAUGCACCUAAAAGUCUACAGGCAAUUUGUUUAAUGCAUGUUGCUUGUCCUUUGAAAAAAGUGUGUUGAAUGUCAGCUGACAAACUGUUGACAUGCAACUACAUAUCUACUGAUAGCAUGUAGAGUGUAAAAAGACAGACAAUCAAAAUAAAUUGUUACUGAAAAUUCGACUGAAUGGAUUUUUCAACCAUUGAAUUUUGUCUCUCUCUGCCAAAGCUGGUGCUGAAUAAGAGAAGGUGAGGAGGUCAUUCUCUUGUUCAAACUCAAUAAAGAGACGACACUUACAAAAUACUUUUCACCUGAACAGAUAGACUUUUCUGAAGCAGUCCUCCUGUAGAUAAUGAAUAAAAGGAUUUAGUAAAAACUUGACUCUUUCAGUAUCUGAAAUGUCUUUGAAUAAUAAAUAUGGACACCAUUGACCCGGAUGAAAGUAUUUAGGCUAUAUGAUUAUGCAGACAAAGUGAAGUUCAGCGUAUUUAUGCCGUUCUAACCUAUAAACCCUAACAAAACUUGGGUUACAACCUGCUCUACAUUUUUUUUUGCAGAACAGAUAGUUUUUCCUUCAAUAUGUUAGUAGUGUAAAUUGUGCUUGUUGCUUCAAAAAGUGUUGCAGAAUAUCAAAAUCAUGAGCAAAUAUCAGCAUCAGUCAUUGUCAGUGAGCAGUGAAUUUGCAAGUAAAGUAAAACAGCCUGAAAUUAUAGGGACAGAAGCGUUCUGUCAAAUAGAAUUCAUCAUUGACCAGAUGUAGAGGGAUGAGUGUGAACUUAGCUAGAAUACUGGAAAUCGUUCUGACUCACUGAAGCUCUUCACAAAUAAUAGAAAGUGCUUUUAUGUUCUGGAGGUGGUUUUGACGUCAUCUUCCUCAUAUUAUCAGAUCUAACUGUCAUGAAGAAGACAGAUACUUAUCAGAACAAAGUGCACUGAUUUUUACCUGUAUCAUCUGUUCUAAGCCAGUGGGAGAGUUCAAAAGCCCCAGUUUAGCUCAACACCCUGCAUAUAGAGCAGGUGAAGGAGAAGAUGAAGUAUCCAACUUUUACAAAGGGGUGGUCAAAGUUUGGUGAAGUUACCAAAAUCACUUGGCUGUGCCUAAGAAGAUAUUAUUUUGGCUGGGGACCAAAAUAGAUUAACUUUUUGUCACUACACUCCAACAUAUCAUUGGCAAAGGUGCCAUCUUGAAAUACUGAGGCGUGUGAAUUGACUGCAUAUACAGCAGGACAAUAAGGCAACACAUUUAACAGUGUUGACGUCUUUAAACUCAAACUGAACAUCAACCAAUACUCUAUGGGUCUGAUCUCCUAAAGGUUUGCGUGAACAAAAACAUGUGCAAACUUGAUAGACUAAACAAACCUGAUCUACUAACCGGGUGCAUUGAGUCUGUUAAAUGAACAAAACAGCAUGCGCAAUCGAUUUUGCGUGUUUGCCAUGAUGAAUAUUCAGAAUGUAUGUAGAUCAUCAGAACUCGCAGAAUUCUAGGAGAACCAGAUGCAGAUGCAAAGCACCAGCAAUGUGAUUCAUCAAACCUGGAAACUGAUUGUGGUUGCUGUUUUGCGACUAUAUUUAGCACGUUUAAAAGGCACGUGCAAACUGGCACAGGUCAUUGUGGAGAGAAGGAGGCAGAAGUGCCAUGAUAGACACCAUGAUCCUUGACCAAAGGCUUGUGAUUUAUUUUGUUUUUCUGGUAAAUGACAAUUGUCAAAAAUUAUAAGGUCAAAAACUGAACAGGCAAUUAUUGAUUUUAAAUUGUUUUAAUCCCUUUUUUGAUCUUUAAAGCACCUUUAGUUGCCUUGUGCAUGAAUGGCGCUAUGCAAAUAAACUUGCCUUUUAUGCAGUUCCCCAAAACGAUAUGUGCAACUCCAUGGCAUCAAACUUCGUAAAUGGUGACAGCUGAUAGCGCACGCAAAAUGCUUGUUUAAAGAGGGCAAUCUGCACCACUUUUGCACCUGUUAUCAAUUGAGUACGCAAUGAUAGUAGAUCACUCGCAACACGCACACGAAUAGCACAUGCAAUUUUUUAGUUUGCACACGCAAUUUAGCGUUCGCUAUUUGGGAUCUUGGUAGAUCAGGCCCUACGAGUAUGCCCAAUCAUCAAGUGCCCUGUUUUUAAAAGAAAUUCAGACCAAAUUUGCCACCACUUCAGUAAAUUUUCUUCUUCUCUAUGCUUGUUAGGACAUUUGGAAUUAGAGCACACUCACACACACACAAGCAGAAAGAAGGCAGCUUUCAUGGUUUGAGAGGCAUAGAUAAUUUGAGUUGAAAUGAGCUUGUCUUCAUUAAUGACAUUCAGUGCUAAACCGUUUAUCUUCAUAUACCCAGGUUACUGUGCUAAAAUGACUCCCUCUGUGCAAUUCCUACUAAUAGCUGUCUUUCAUGUUGCAGAGAGGAAAGCUUUUUCUUUUUGCCUGUGAUGAAUUAAGAGUGCACAUGACACAUACAUGUGAAAACACACUGUCAGAAGGAAACAUUAAAGUCCAGACACUUGUUUCUCUGCAGGCCCUCCUUCUCCUCACAGUUUAUGUAAGGUGAUGACAGGUGUGAGCUAUAAAUGACUCAUCCCGGGUGGAAACUAGCAGACAGUAAGGAAACAAAAGAUGAAAUGGGCAUGGGUAUUAUCAGACAUGGUGGUCACAGUUUAUGAUUAGGUGACUGCACUCAGGCAAGACACCUAGAAAUACUCUAAUAUGUGUCUGACGCAAACUGAAGACCGACUGUUCUUAGGAUUACAUUUUUUUUUACCACACAUUUGCCUGGUUUUGAAGAGGAUUCCGACAUAAACCCAUGUUUUCUAAUCCGAUUAUUUCUAAUUGUUACCUCUGCCAAGGAGGUUAUGUUUUCGGUAGCGUUGGUUUGUUUGUUGGUUUGUUUGUCUGUUAGCAAAUUUACGGAGAAAGUAACAGAUGGAUUGACCUGGAAUUUUCACCAGAGGUGCGAUUCAGCCCCAGGACGAUCCCAUUAAAUUUUGGCGGUGAUCCGGAUCGCCUUCUGAAUCCAGGAAUUUUUUGAAGGAUUCUUUAUCAUUGUGAGAUAGGGCAAAUUUUGGAAUUUUUGCAUUCAACUCUAUAAAAAUGUCCAGAGUCUUUAGUAAAAAAUUACACAAAAGGAUCUCAAUGAGUUUUAUGAGGUGUCAAAGGUUGAUCCUGAUCCAGACAAAAUUCCGGAUACUGUGAUCCAGCACACACAAAAAUAAGGGUGUCGUUGGAAUUUUCAAUGCUGAAAGAUGGCCGGCACAGUGGUGUAGAUAGGUGGCACAGUGGUGUAGUGGUUAGCACUGUCGCCUCACAGUAAGAAGGUCCUGGGUUUGAAUCCGGGUCAGGGCAUCUCUUGUUUUAGGAACAUUAUGAACAGUGAACAUACCAGUUUAAACACAAAUAAACGUUAACAAAAGACACGUAACACUAAAAGUUUUGGUGUGAAUCACAAUAUAAGGGGGGACAUGAGCUGCUUGGCGGAGGUCUGCGCUCUCCAAGUGCUUUUCAAGUUCUCAACUGAAACUGCAUUGAAAUAAUACUUGGGAACAUUGCAAAAUCAAAGAUUCUGUAUGUGAUAAGAAAACACGACCUAAUAUGUUAUGUUUGUCUUAAACUGCUUAAAGACUAUUUGAAAAGUAAUCAUUGAUCGAGCAUUAGGUAACAAUUUCUAAAAACAAUAAGAAGAGUGUGCUGAAACAAAACAAUAUCGCUCUGGAAUCGAAUUAUAAAUCUGUCACUUUGAUGAUUUUAGAGUGGCAGCCCAUAAGAAUUGUUUUAAUUCCAAUAAAUAUGAAAAAUGGUCUUCUCUCUAUUGCUUAUAGUCUGUCUUUCCCCCUCAGAUGAUACAAUUUCUCCUACCUAAUCUGCUCUGCACCUUUUUCUCAAUCAAUAAAUCAGUCAAUCUUUAUUUGUUUACUGCCAACUCAUAACAAAUACUUUCUCAAGGCACUUGAGACUGCAGGUUCAAAUCUAACUCUUCAGGCAAAGAUCUGAUAUCAUUUCACCACGAGGAAAUCACUGUGCAACAUUUGGCAAGUAUCAGCAGCAUGGAAAGACUUCCCUAAACCUUAAGCCGAAUCAGACUCACAUUAAACAGCCAAUCACUGCAACUACAUUCAGUCUAUAGAGGGAGAAAGAUGAAAAUGCAGGAGGUUGCAAAACUGCAAUUUAAGAACAAGGUAAUGAAUUUGGCUUAUACAUGUUUUAAGAACUUUGCUCAGCUAAAGAAAAAUGGAGAAAGGAUGAUACUAGCAAAUGAGACCAAGUGUCAGCUACAUUACUUUCCAAUGUAUAAAAAAAUAACUGUUCAGGAUAUAGGAUAGCUUUCUCAGAUAGCUUUUAAUCCCUUCCCUCAUUCUUAUGCAUUAUCUUUAAGGAAAAAGAUAACAGGUGUCCCAAAAAUGACUCGCUGUCUCUGAACAACUCCAUAAGCCAUCACUGUAUGAGGAUACUGUAUUAACACUUGCAUAGAGAGGUAUUAGAGGACAUUAAAAUAUGAAAGAGACAGACCACUUCUUAGCGUGGAGUCCUUUAAUCUCUGUGGCACACAUUACCAUGAGUGUGGACAACAAUGGACCUCCGGCAAAGGAGCCUAAUCCUGGUAAAAGCAAUUCACUUAAAGGGAGAGAACGCAUCAGUGUAACUUGGCAGCUUCUUACUGCAACAAUACAGCUGAGUCUGGACAUUUCAAUUGCCAAGUGUCCUCAAUAAACUGUGAAGGAUUAAACAUUUUUAGAACUCUGACAAGCGUAUAUAGUUUCCGGGCAUAGACCACAAAUGUGGCUCAAUAUCCUAAGUGGGCAUCCAUACUGAAAAAGACAGGUGGAUAGCAUGAGAAUAUGUGCAAUGACGUUUUCAGUCAUUGCUGAGAUGAAAGUAAUGUACAAAACCUACUAUAUCAAUUUAAUUUAAUGGAAUAGGCCAUAAGACUUCAAGAAAAACCUGGUCUAAACCUAUAGAGCCUUAUGUUCUUACAGUACAUACUGUAUUUUAUGGUAGCAGCGGUCCUUGUGGUCACUCUGGUUUAAAGAAGAGGACUUUUCUCUGUGGCUGUAAGGAAAUCUGCGGACAUUCAGGGGGUGGUGGGUGCUGAGCAAAAUGUGGUUUCGGUGAUCACAGACUACAACUCGUAGCAGCGCAUGCCCCCUGUAAUGACCCGCCAUAAAAACUGUUGUUCAGGACUGCGCUUACAUUGUUACUCGCGCUUCCUACCUGCUCUGCUACCAUAACAACCGUUGUUCUUGUUUACAUGCAACAUUUUUUUUCUCAUUCAUAAAAUUCUUAAAUCGGGACAUUUCUGGGGACAGCCCUAGCCGGGGACAGGUCAUCCAAAAUGGGGACUGUCCGCGGAAAUCGGGGACAUCUGUUCACCUUAGUUAAGAAAGCGUAAAGGAGGGAACUUGUGUUGCCAUGUACCCAGGCACCUCAUUUUUAGUCCCUUUAACAGAACUGUAAAGUCUGACUUUGUGACAAAUCUAAAGGGAAGAAAACACUCAGAAGACAGACCAAUUUGAGUACAACUAAUACAACACAGGAUCACCAAGUCUGCAAGGAAUAUGAAGUAAUUUGCUGUGUGAGUCCUCACUGUCAACCUUCACCAUGAAGUUGAGGAUUACUAAUCUGACACUGACUCACUUUUGAGCUGCUUCAAGUGGCUCCUGGAGAAACUGCAGAUUUUGGAGCUUUGGUGUUGGUUUCAUUAUUUCGGCUCCAAAGAUUGUUGAAGACUUAAAGACGUGAUGACCUUUUGCAACAACAGUUGUUCAGCCACGUUAAUUCCUCUGAGACAGGAUAAGAAUAUAAGGUACUGUCCCAAUAUGAAAUACUGUUUUCAAGGAAUUUCCACAGGAGAAAAGCAUUAAGCCAAAGAGGAAAACAUGAUAACUUUCAUGCAUGAAUGUUACACUCAUUGAUUGAGGUCAAAUUCUUAAACCUAGCUUGUAUAUGGAACAAAAAUGAACACUUUUGAAGACUUUUGCUCAAGUCAACUUGGGUCAAACUUCAGUCCAGAACUCACUGUUGCCCUCUGACAUGCAUCAAGACAGCCAAGCCCUAAUAACAUCCUGGUUAUUGGACCAUGACUCCUGCUCCUGUCAGGUGAUAGUACAGGCCCUCCCUCUCAGGGAGCUGUCACCAUUAAGAAGAGGAGAAGCUCAUUGUUGAGUUGGAAAAAAGACCAAGUCUACAGUAAAAGACAAUGGUCUGUGAUCCACAGCUGAAGGCGAUUUUUAUGUGAAUAGGAUCUUGAGGUGAGCAACCAAGUCCCAUAACACAAAAACACCAAAGUCUGGGAUCGUUUUAACCCUUAACAAAACUACAGGGACAUAGUACUUUUAGGAGACAAUAAAAUAAUGACAUGAAGCUGCAAAAAUGGAUCAAGUUGGACUGAUUAUUAAAAACAAGAAUUGGGUAAUUAUUUUCAAAGUUGAAGCACUAAGACAUGAACUCUUCAUCACAGCAGUCAGCUACAGUCAGAGAGGUCUUACGAUAGAGACAUCACUCUGAAAGCUUCCUCCUGGGGUCUAGACUCUCAGCUCAGGUGUGGAUUUACAAUCCUUCCUCUCAACUACAAAGCCCCUUAUGAUCAGGCACCAGAAUAUCUCAUAGACCAUAUAGCAGAUGCCCCAAUUUGAAAUAACAUGUGGAGUGCAAUGAUAACCAAACAGGAAGUAAGCUGACCCGGGAAUGAAAGGAAAGGAAAGGCCACCUUGUUGAUUUGUGGCAAUGACACAAAUGUUAACACCACCUGAGCUGUAUCAAAAACCAAAACUGCUCUGUGGAGGUUUUGUUUACCACCUCGCACCCUACAACAUAUUUAUGCUUCUAUUCUGACUGAUAUGUUUACAUAUAUUAAAGAGUCCAGCCUCAAGCAGACUUACUCAGAUAUUAUCAUGGUAACACUUUAUUUGACGCCUAUCUCUAAAACACAUUAUAAAUAUAUGUAUAAUGUGUUAUAAUCAUGUUAUAGCACUGUAUAACUAUGUUAUAAACACUCAUAAAUGAUCAUAAUGCUUCAUAGCAACACAUUAUAAAGCAUUUUAUCAUGACUUACAAGGUCGGGUAUUAUAAUGUGUUAUAACUGUUAACAACAGUUGCAUUGCAUUAUCUAUGUGGGCAUUGUCAGUGAGUUGUUAACAGUUAUAACACACUAUAAUACCUGACCUUGUCAUUAAUGACAAAAUGCUUUAUAAUGUGUUAUAUAAUCAUUUAUGAGUGUUUAUAACUAUAGUUAUACAGUGCUAUAAUGUGAUUAUGACGCAUUAUACAUAAUAUUUAUAAUGCGUUUUAGAGAUAGGCAUCAAAUAAAGUAUUACCUAAGGUGACCAGACAUCCCCGAUUUACAGGUAACGGUCCCUGAAUUGGAUGGCCUGUCCCCGGCAAAAACUGUCCCAGAAAAUGUCCCUGAUUAAAGCAUUUCAUGAAUGAAAACAAAAAUGUUGCGUGUAGGCUAGAACAACAGUUAUUACAGUAGCCAAAUGGGUAGAAAGCACAAGUAAGCAGUCCUCAACAACAGUUUUUACGGGUACGGGGGUUAUUACAAGGGGCGUGCGCUGCUACUAAAUAGUACCGAGAUGUUGUCUGCACCAAAUGUCCCCGGAUUUCAUUACAGAAAUCUGGUCACCUUAGUGUUACCAUCAUCAUUAUUGUCGUUGUUCAUAAAAAUAAUUCACAUAUUUCAUUUCCAAAUUAUUGGCUAAUUUUUGUAACUUAAGUGCAGUAUAAAUGAUUGAUUUAGUAAUUAACUGAUGAAAUGGUUUACUAUGUCUACUCUGACAGGAUUAUAAAAACAAAAACUCGAAGUCAAAGACAUUGGAGGAAGCACAGAUGCGACUCAUUAUCCUUGUAAGGGUUGAAUUUGGUGAGCAGAAGCACAGUUUUUGAUCAAAAUUCCACAGAGCCAUUAGAGAAUUGCAAUUCAUUGAGACUGUCACAUAACCACCUACUUUAGAAAAACAUCACAGUUAUUUUUUUGACGGUGCCAUGUUGUAUGUCAGACAGGUGGUAAAGCAGCUUUCUUGAUUCCAAAGAAAAUCAUUCUUUCAUUAAAUGAUUAUAACGUCUGACACCUGCUGGCUGCAACAGAGCCUGGGGGUUCAGCUUUGGUACCACCCUGAAAGACACAUUGGACAGAAAAAUCCAUCAAAUGGUAUAAAUUAUUCACAGUUUCAACCUGAUUACAGCAUCCACACGGCGACAAACUGCCCCAGGAAAAAUCAGUGCCUGUUUACCUCCAGGUGGCUUUGGAUCUUGUCACUCACUCUGUAUGGAAAUACAGAUGCUUAAGUAGCAAACCAGAAAAUAAGCAAUUAGAGGCAUCAAUCGCCUCGCUCACCAACAACUUGGAUUUCUCACAGGGAUUCUUACUAUUGAUGUUGAAAUCGUCCUUGGUGUUGUUCCCUCUCUAAAAUCCCAGGAGACUCUCCAUUUCUCCUGUGUGAGUUGCUUUUCCUUCUCUGCUGAUUUUCUCAAAAAUAAAAAAAUAAAAAAUUCUCCCCUCUCAUAGGCUUUUCUCUUUCCCUCUUGGUUCUCAAACCUUUUUCUUUUUUUUCCUCGCUCUCUUCCUUUCAUAUUUCCUGGGUUUGCAUUUGCAGGUUUGAGGAGUUCUUACGUAGUCAGUGCACACCCCAUCUCUCCAUUACCUUGUCAGAAGCAGCAGACAAGCACCUGCCUGCUGAUGAGGAAGGGGGGAGACAGUGACGGAGGAAAGGAAGGUAGGAGUUCAACAGCUGUGCAUAAUAGAUAUGGGUCAGGAUGGGGACAUUACAUGAUACAAGAGGAUAAGAGGCUAUAUUAGCAUAUGAGGCACAGCCCGCAGGUGACAUGUCAAAAGGCAUGCAUGUACAGAUAUGGAUUGCUUUUUCCUGCAGAAAACUACCUGUCGUAACUUAGC